UACGAAAGUAGGUCUUAGUGAUCCGGUGGUUCUGAAUGGAAGGGCCAUCGCUCAACGGAUAAAAGGUACUCCGGGGAUAACAGGCUGAUACCGCCCAAGAGUUCAUAUCGACGGCGGUGUUUGGCACCUCGAUGUCGGCUCAUCACAUCCUGGGGCUGAAGUAGGUCCCAAGGGUAUGGCUGUUCGCCAUUUAAAGUGGUACGCGAGCUGGGUUUAGAACGUCGUGAGACAGUUCGGUCCCUAUCUGCCGUGGGCGUUGGAAGAUUGAGAGGGGCUGCUCCUAGUACGAGAGGACCGGAGUGGACGAAUCACUGGUGUUCGGGUUGUCAUGCCAAUGGCAUUGCCCGGUAGCUAAAUUCGGAAGAGAUAACCGCUGAAAGCAUCUAAGCGGGAAACUUGCCUCGAGAUGAGUCUUCCCUGGGACUUAAAGUCCCCUGAAGGAACGUUAAAGACUAUGACGUUGAUAGGCUGGGUGUGUAAGUGCAGCGAUGUAUUGAGCUAACCAGUACUAAUGAUCCGUGAGGCUUAACCUUACAACACCGAAGGUGUUU
rnacentral:rRNA from 1 species